rnacentral:rRNA from 1 species
AUUGAACGCUGGCGGCAGGCUUAACACAUGCAAGUCGAGCGGAUGAAGGGAGCUUGCUCCUGGAUUCAGCGGCGGACGGGUGAGUAAUGCCUAGGAAUCUGCCUGGUAGUGGGGGAUAACGUCCGGAAACGGGCGCUAAUACCGCAUACGUCCUGAGGGAGAAAGUGGGGGAUCUUCGGACCUCACGCUAUCAGAUGAGCCUAGGUCGGAUUAGCUAGUUGGUGGGGUAAAGGCCUACCAAGGCGACGAUCCGUAACUGGUCUGAGAGGAUGAUCAGUCACACUGGAACUGAGACACGGUCCAGACUCCUACGGGAGGCAGCAGUGGGGAAUAUUGGACAAUGGGCGAAAGCCUGAUCCAGCCAUGCCGCGUGUGUGAAGAAGGUCUUCGGAUUGUAAAGCACUUUAAGUUGGGAGGAAGGGCAGUAAGUUAAUACCUUGCUGUAUUGACGUUACCAACAGAAUAAGCACCGGCUAACUUCGUG